rnacentral:rRNA from 1 species
UACGUAGGGGGCAAGCGUUGUCCGGAUUUAUUGGGCGUAAAGAGCGUGUAGGCGGUUAUGCAGGUCCGCUGUGAAAACUGGAGGCUUAACCUCCAGACGUCGGUGGAAACCGUAUGACUAGAGUCCGGAAGAGGAGAGUGGAAUUCCUGGUGUAGCGGUGAAAUGCGCAGAUAUCAGGAAGAACACCCGUGGCGAAGGCGGCUCUCUGGGACGGUACUGACGCUGAGGCGCGACAGCGUGGGGAGCAAACAGG